AGAGCCUUCCGAGUCGAAACUUUCUCUCUCUCUCGACACUCUCUUGACACGAAACGAAAUCUCAGUCCUCUCUCUCAAACCCUAAAUCUCAGUCCUCUCUCAGUUCUCUCUCAGUCCUCUCUCAUAAACCCUAAAGCGGCCAAUUUUGAUCUCUCUCACCGUCCUCUCUCUCUCUCCGCGAAACCCCUCUUUCUCGUGAAAGUUCUCUCAGUCUCUCAAUCUGAAACCAUGGCCUUCGUCAUUUCAGCCGUCAGGCAAAAAAUCCCUAAACUCGUCGAAACCGUCUCCAUGGCCAUCCUUCCUAAUUAUCCGAUUUGUUCUUCAUUGCUUUUCUUUUUGACUAUUUUGGUUUAGUUGGUGACUUGGGUUUUUGGGAAAUUACGGUAAUUGGUAUGAAUUGGGGUUUUGAGUUGGUUGUUUCUGAUUCUAGUUUGAAAUGCUGAUGAGAAAUUUGGGUUUGGGUUUCAUGAUUUUGAUGAAAUGAGUGCAAAGCAGCAGGCCUUCUUCUUCGACCAUGAAUUUGGUUCAGCGAAUAAUUACUAUUUGGAGAGGUUUUGGUUUUCGGUACAUUUGGGUCAAUUUUGCAUCUUUAGGUUGUUGGGUCCCUUGGAAUCUGUGCUUUCUGCUAUUGCCAAGAAGUGCAUCAGGUUCUCAGCCAAAGCCAGAGGUUGCUUGCGUUGAUUGGAAUUUUAACAGUUGGGGAGGUACGCUUUAUAGUUAUGCAAAGCUGAUGUCUUUAUUGAAGCUGUACAUUUUUCAAUAGAUCAACUAUAUACUCAAUCUUUCAAGCAACAGAACAGCAGAAUUUUUUAUGCUCUUUUGUACAAAGUACAAACCACAUACAACUCGAGCUAUAUCUGGAAAGUUUAAACCCCUAGCUACAGGAUGAUGCUAAACCGAGACUUGCAGGCACAAGACUUGCAGCCACUUAUGUGAUUGCCAAUGGAGCUUCAUUUUGGGUUCUAUUACAUUUUUUUGUUUCUUUGUCUAGAUCCAUGUUCAUGUUAUUAUAUUCUGACUAAUUUGUCCACAUGUGUAUCAGUUUUGAUGCAGUCAAUUCAUCAGGCUAUUGAAAAGGAACACCACUCAAUCCAGAAGAGUGAUGUCAUUAUCUUCUUUCAGGUUGCUCAGUUCGUUACUUCUUUCCAAUAUCACAGGCAUUCAAUUUCUAAGCCAAGCCUAAGAGCUGAAGCAGACACAAUUGAAGUUCCCACAGGUACAGAGGCUGAUAGAACAUUCUUUAGAGGUGAUAUAUGUGGACCAAUUGCAACCUCAAUGAAUGAGUCGAUGUUCCAACUAGUCAUUUCGAAGUGGCGUUAUGUAUUCGAUGGGUUGAAGGAAACACAUGAGUACAAGUUUCUGUCUGCAGCUAGUUCUCUGAUGAAAGAAAUGAUUUGCAUGCUAGAUUUGGUGCUCAAGUCAUUGCCAGAAGACUCCAAGGAGCCUCAAACGGCUCGCAUACUUCUGUACAAGUUAUUUUAUGAUCAGACCGAAGAGGGGAUGACCCAUUUUCUCUUAAAUUUGCUGAAAACGUUUGGCACUCACAAACAACCAAAAAGGUGAUUUUCUUUUCAUAUCAACUAAAACACUUUUUUUUUGCUUGGUUGUUGCUUGUUCGGCAUUAGUUUAGAAAUCCUAGUUUUAAAAAGGAAGAUAAUUCAGCUCUCUGUAGAGCAUCAUGUUGACUGAUCACUUGAUCAGUCUGAUCUGAUCAUCAAUAUCAAAGCAUUAUUCGCCUUUAACAUUAAUAUACUAACAUUAAAGUACAGUUUAGUAGAAAUUUAAGAUCCAUUUUGGUCUUGAUUGAGAAGUUCUUCUAAAACUAAUUUCAGUUUCUGACCUAAAUGUUUUAUGUGAUUGCCAACCGAGAGUUGGUACAGUCUAGUCUCACAGUGCUUCAUUUUUCCUAAAGGUUUUGGAUAUUCUAUUUCAUAUUUGAUCGAAGUUUCAUCAAAGUUUCUAUAUAGUCAUAAUUGCACUUACUGUUGAUUAGUAUAUAUUUGUUGGAUUUGAUCUGCUACAAGCUUGGCCAGAUAGUGAAGACUUGCUGUGAAUAUAUGGGGACAACAUCAUUGCUGGUAAUAAGGCGGAAGUCUGGGGCAUGAGUUCUUCUUGUUGUCGAGGACUAGUGAGCUCACUCUCUCUUUUGAAGGCGAGGUUUAUGUUUUUUUUGAUGUUACGCCCCAGAAUGUCACUCUCUAUUUCUUUGUUGCUUUGAGCUCUAUUUUUAUUUACUUUUCUUAUACAGUAAUGCUCACAGGUCUAAUGCUCAUCUUUUGCAUACUUUGUAGAAAGUAUUCCUUAAGACGAGAAGUGGAUUUGUUCGCAUAGCCAUGGAGAAUGGCUAUCCCCUGGUUUCAGUUUUCUGUUUUGGUCAGGUAUCACCUACUUAUUAUCUGGUUUUUAUGGUAUACCUAGAGAGUUAUUGGUUUCAAUUCUUGCUGCUGUUGUAUUAUAGCUGUUCGCAUAGCCAUGGAUCAUCUGCCAAAAGUUAGAAACUGGACCUAACUUUCUUUGUUUGUGUUUCUGCCAUGUUCUUUUUAUUUUUUAUUUUUUUUAUGCAAAAAUAUGAUGUUGACACAGUAGCAAAGGCAACUGUCCUUGGCAUCCAAGUUCGGUGUGGAUUCAGGCCUAAGAUUCCAUGUAGGAGAUGAAUCUAGAGCUAAUGCUGCACAAGAUAAUGAACUUUUCCAUCAGAAUCCUCAAGCAAAUGAUGCACAAGAUGGAAAUUGGAUUGCUCGUAUUGCAGCAUUGCUUGUGGGUGAGGAUCGAACACAAUCUUGUAUAGCUUAUGAAAUUGGAAGGCUUAGUUCAAUGAAAUGUUUAAAUGCUUAUAAAAUUGUAUAUAGUGAAUCGAUUGGAGUUUGUUUUGAUGUAUCAAAGUUACUUUUAGCAUUAAUAUAAAAUUAUUGUUCAUUGGUAAUAA